GGUUCGUUGGCGCAAUGGUAGCGUACAGACCUCCUAAGUCUGGGGUUGCGGGUUCGAGUCCCGUGCGGAUCG